rnacentral:sRNA from 1 species
GAUAAAUUAAUAAACUCUUUAAACUAAUUAAUUUUGCCAGUCCUAAAUUGGACCAAUAUAAAAAUUAACUAAAAUCAUAAAAUAUAUAUAUAUAUAUAUAUUUUUAAAUCUCUAUGUAAAAAUAUGGUCUCAAUAAUAUCAUAAAUCUUAAGCAUACAUUCUAAAAUAAUCUAAUAUAAAAUAAGUCUAAUGUUGUUUGUCUUUUCUAAAAGUUCGAAUCUCGUUGAAGUUCAUCUCUAAUUUUCUUAUUACAUCAAAAACUCUUGGUGUUGUCUUCUCGAUCUACAUCCAAAAAUUGUGAAAAAUUGUAGAUGCGAUAAUUGCUUCCUUACGUGUCACUAUUUCCAAAAAUUCUACAUUAUCGUCUUCAACUUCUUUACCAACAUUACAAACAAAAGCUAUA